GGCCUGAAGUGACUCACUGAAGAAUGUUGGAGAAAGCCCAAGGCCAGACAUGAGUGGACUGAACUCCUCAGCGCCACUCACAGAUCAUUUUGACAGUGGGACAUCUGGAACUGCAUCGUGAUCUGCAUCCUGUUUGAUGAGCACAGACACCAGCAGAAGGGAAGAAGUGUGACUCGCUGUGCUGAGAGCGGUUGGCCGGAUCCCACAGUCACACCUCUGCUGGGGAGGGAACGGCUGCUGCAGAGGUGCAGCAGAUCAGUGUGCAGAAGCUUGAGGUCCUCUGUUCAGAGGUAUCACAGCUAUGUGACACAAGGGGGCAGUGUUGUUCCUCACAACAGAUAAAAAAAGAGGAAAGUAUGUUUUUAAUAUUAUUUCUAUACUGUUAUAAUAAGUGUUCAAUAUAACAUGUAUUCUUUAAUUAACUGUCAGAUUAUGAUUGUAAAAUAAGAUAAUAAGUACAUGUGAAUGUACAAGUCAAACUUACUCCCUCUUGGAUAUUUGUAAAAACAAAAGGGUCCCAAACCUCAUAGUUUUUUCUUUUUCUAACUGGGUCGUUGCUUGAUAAACUACUAAGUAGUGUGCCUCGUGAAAAGAGAAAAAAAAAGCUCAUUUAAAUAAUUAUUUUAUAAUAUAUUUCUAUUUCUCUCUCUAUGUAUAUAUGUCACAAAGAAUAACAGAACAGUUUUCCUGUGGCAGUUCCAAUAUUUGACCAAUAGAUGGAGCAAGAGGCCCGAAAGUGGAUGCUCCCUGUAUUUUGACGGUUAUGAAAUAAUGCAGUUAUAUCAUUAGACUUAACUUAUGAAGGUUUGUCAUAGUAUUUCAUGAGAAAAUUAUUUUCAUUAAAUAACCUUCUUUGUAAUAUAUAUAUAUAUAUAAAAACUUCAGUGUGUAAGUGUUUUUAGAAAGUGUAUUUAGAAAUUAAUAAUAGGAUUAAAAAAGUUGUGACAUAAAGUAAAUGCAUAUAUUGGAUGUGAGAAAUUAAUUUAGUUGCUGUUAUAUAUUUGCAGACUUUUUCUUAUGCCUUUACAGUUACAGGACUGGAACUAUAUCUUCGUCUGCCAGUAAUCUACACAUUUCUCUGACAAAAUUUGAAAAAUGUUACACCACAAAACUCAGAAUGAAUUCAUUCAUGCAUGUUUCUUUGCAGAGUGAAAGUGCACAGCUGCUGUGAUUCCCCUCCAUGCAAACACCACAGCUCAUGUUGCUGUCUAAAAGAUAUAGCUGUUGUGCUUUUCUACACCUUGUUGUCUCACCCUACACUUAAAUAGUUAGUUUCGUCUUUUCUCCCCGAGAAAGAGAUAAUUAUAAUUUCAGCAACGUUUGUCAGCCACAGUGAUUUGUAUGCUGGGGUAAGAGGACAUCGGUGGAUAGGAGGCAGAAAAAAACAGCUGCUCACCAUUCCUGUUCAGCCAGUCACUGCUGGUGAAAGAUGAGCAACGGGAAGGCAGACAGGGGGAUGGAAAGAUGAAAACACAAGAUGAGUGAAGAGAAAAAGUCCUGUUUGGUAUUCACCUGUCUCUCUGGAUCAAUAAAGGUAAUUUGGGCUGAUUCCUCCCCGUAGGCCUCUUAGCAGAUAGAAGGGGAGAGGGGUCAGCUACUGCUGAGCUGCAGGGAGCUGGAAUAACUUAGAAACACACGGCAAAUUACCCAUUCAGCUUUUUCAAUGCCUUGACAAGAGCCUGGAUGUUAAUGAUCCAUUCGGCGUGUAUGCUGAUGAAAUA